CCUACGGGAGGCAGCAGUGGGGAAUAUUGCACAAUGGGCGCAAGCCUGAUGCAGCAACGCCGCGUGAGGGACGACGGCCUUCGGGUUGUAAACCUCUUUUAGUAGGGAAGAAGCGAAAGUGACGGUACCUGCAGAAAAAGCACCGGCUAACUACGUGCCAGCAGCCGCGGUAAUACGUAGGGUGCAAGCGUUAUCCGGAAUUAUUGGGCGUAAAGAGCUCGUAGGCGGUUUGUCGCGUCUGCUGUGAAAACUGGAGGCUCAACCUCCAGCCUGCAGUGGGUACGGGCAAACUAGAGUGCGGUAGGGGAGAUUGGAAUUCCUGGUGUAGCGGUGGAAUGCGCAGAUAUCAGGAGGAACACCGAUGGCGAAGGCAGAUCUCUGGGCCGUAACUGACGCUGAGGAGCGAAAGCAUGGGGAGCGAACAGGAUUAGAUACCCUGGUAGUCCAUGCCGUAAACGGUUGGGCGCUAGAUGUGGGGACCAUUCCACGGUUUCCGUGUCGCAGCUAACGCAUUAAGCGCCCCGCCUGGGGAGUACGGCCGCAAGGCUAAAACUCAAAUGAAUUGACG
rnacentral:rRNA from 1 species